UGGGGAAUAUUGCACAAUGGGCGCAAGCCUGAUGCAGCCAUGCCGCGUGUGUGAAGAAGGCCUUCGGGUUGUAAAGCACUUUCAGCGGGGAGGAAGGCGUUAAGGUUAAUAACCUUGGCGAUUGACGUUACCCGCAGAAGAAGCACCGGCUAACUCCGUGCCAGCAGCCGCGGUAAUACGGAGGGUGCAAGCGUUAAUCGGAAUUACUGGGCGUAAAGCGCACGCAGGCGGUCUGUCAAGUCGGAUGUGAAAUCCCCGGGCUCAACCUGGGAACUGCAUUGGAAACUGGCAGGCUAGAGUCGUGUAGAGGGGGGGAGAAUUCCAGGUGUAGCGGUGAAAGGCGUAGAGAUCUGGAGGAAUACCGGUGGCGAAGGCGGCCCCCUGGACAAAGACUGACGCUCAGGUGCGAAAGCGUGGGGAGCAAACAGG
rnacentral:rRNA from 1 species